CGCACCUUGCGCUCCUUGGUAUUCCGAGGAGCAUGCCUGUUUGAGUGUCAUUAAAUUCUCAACUUCUUCAGCUUUUGCGAGCUCGAAGAGGCUUGGAUGUGGGGGUUGCGGGCUUCUCAGAAGUCGGCUCUCCUGAAAUGCAUUAGUGAGACCUUUGUUGACCGUCUCUGGUGUGAUAAUUAUCUACGCCACAGUUUGGUUAGCUUUAACGUGGGGUCUUGCUUAUAACCGUCCUUACAGACAACUUUUGACAAUUUGACCUCAAAUCAGGUAGGACUACCCGCUGAACUUAA
rnacentral:misc_RNA from 1 species